GCGUGGAUUGAUUUGUCUGGUUAAUUCCGAUAACGCACGAGACCUCCGCCUCUAGUAUCUGGGUAGAGCUUUCUUCGGAGAGUUCUAUGUUGCAGCUUCUGUAACUUUCCACCUACUAGAGGGACUACGUGUGUUUUACAAUGUAACACGGGAAGCAGGAGGCGAUAACA
rnacentral:rRNA from 1 species